rnacentral:tRNA from 1 species
AGGGAUGUAGUGCAGCUUGGUAGCGCGUUUGUUUCGAAUACAAAAUGUCACGGGUUCAAAUCUUGUCAUCCCAA